GACGAACGCUGGCGGCGUGCUUAACACAUGCAAGUCGAACGGAAAGGCCUUGUUCUUGUGGGGAGCUCGAGUGGCGAACGGGUGAGUAUCACGCGUGUAACCUGCCCUUUUCUUUGGGAUAACUCCUGGAAACUGGGGCUAAUACCGGAUAUGAGCUCCUUCUGCAUGGUGUGGGUUGGAAAGUUUCGGCGGUUGGGGAUGGAAGCGCGGCUUAUCAGCUUGUUGGUGGGGUAGUGGCUUACCACGGCUUUGACGGGUAGCCGGCCUGCGAGGGUGACCGGCCACAUUGGGAUUGAGAUACGGCCAGGACUGCUACGGGAGGCAGCGGUGGGAAAUAUUGCACAAUGGGCGGAAGCCUGAUGCAGCAACGCCGCGUGCGGGAUGACGGCCUUCGGGUUGUAAACCGCUUUCGCCUGUGACGAAGCGUGAGUGACGGUAAUGGGUAAAGAAGCACCGGCUAACUACGUG
rnacentral:rRNA from 1 species